CUGUAUUUUUCGUGGCUUAUGAGUGGCCUUUGAGGUAAUACAGGCUUGAUUUGUUGAUUUCAGGAAAUGUACUCUGUUGUCCAUUUAUUUGUUGCUUUAUUUGUUGAUUUCAGGAAAUGUACUCUGUGGUCCAUUUUUUGGCGGAAAAUGAUGUUGCAGUUGUUCCUACCUGUUGGGUGUGCAAUGGCCGCACGGCAUGGCCACCCUACAGAUCAAAUCGGUUGAUGAUGGUAAUUGAGAGCGUGAAGAGCCCUUUACUGACUGGGCCACAUUCUCCUGUCAGGUGAUGGCAUCAUGUUUGACAUAUGAAGAUGCAAAGUUCAAAGAAAAAAAAUCCGGAAGCGACGUCCGACCUAUCAACGAAUAAUGAAGAGCGGGAGAAAAGAAAAAGGAAGAGACUGCUCCUUUUCCGUCAAGCUUGCCUCUUCUGCAGGAACGACCUAGCACUCAGCCAGCCCCUCAACUUCCAGAACGUGCACCAGUGCCCAAGCAAAAACGCACACGUGAGCAGCGUGCCUCUUCCCAGGAGUGACUGAGGGGCUGCCACAAGGGGAGAAGGCAAGCAUGUUUCUGAUUACAAGAAUGGACAGUUGGGCUGGGCUAGUUGGUAAGAAUUGAUGUUGAAAAACGGUGCAAAAACCAGACAAAGAGAAAAGAACACACAGCACCUUGUCCUGUGUGUUCUCUUAUCCGUGCAUUUUGCACUGUUUUUCAGCAUGUUUCUGCCUUGAUUUUUCUGUUAUAGUUUUAAAUGUCUGUAGUUGGUUACUUUGAUCCCUGUUGGAAGCAUGGAAUUGGUUAACCGU